rnacentral:rRNA from 1 species
CCUACGGGAGGCUGCAGUAGGGAAUCUUCCACAAUGGGCGAAAGCCUGAUGGAGCAACGCCGCGUGGGUGAAGAAGGUCUUCGGAUCGUAAAACACUGUUGUUAGAGAAGAAAGUGCGUGAGAGUAACUGUUCACGUUUCGACGGUAUCUAACCAGAAAGCCACGGCUAACUACGUGCCAGCAGCCGCGGUAAUACGUAGGUGGCAAGCGUUAUCCGGAUUUAUUGGGCGUAAAGGGAACGCAGGCGGUCUUUUAAGUCUGAUGUGAAAGCCUUCGGCUUAACCGGAGUAGUGCAUUGGAAACUGGGAGACUUGAGUGCAGAAGAGGAGAGUGGAACUCCAUGUGUAGCGGUGAAAUGCGUAGAUAUAUGGAAGAACACCAGUGGCGAAAGCGGCUCUCUGGUCUGUAACUGACGCUGAGGUUCGAAAGCGUGGGUAGCAAACAGGAUUAGAUACCCGAGUAGUC